AUUUAUAUAGUUUAAAAAAAACAUUUUAUUUUCAAUAAAAAAAAGAAAAAAAAUUUUCUAUAAAUA
rnacentral:tRNA from 1 species